rnacentral:rRNA from 1 species
UACGGGGGGAGCAAGCGUUGUUCGGAUUUACUGGGCGUAAAGGGCGCGUAGGCGGUCGUGACAGGCCACUUGUGAAAUCUCCGGGCUUAACUCGGAACGGUCAAGUGAUACUGUCGGACUAGAGUACAGAAGGGGCAACUGGAAUUCUCGGUGUAGCGGUGAAAUGCGUAGAUAUCGAGAGGAACACCUGCGGCGAAGGCGGGUUGCUGGGCUGAUACUGACGCUGAGGCGCGAAAGCCAGGGGAGCGAACGGG